UCUCAGAGACUGCCUGGAUAAGUCCGUGGAGUUUCCUUGGAAAAGUUUUUCCUUCCUGGGGCUGAGAGAAAGUGACUGGCCCAACAUCACCAGCUGGCUUGGUGCCUAAGAUUCUGCUGGGCCCACCAGGUUCAGCAUGGCAUCAGUUACAGAUAAGUCGCUGUUAUCGACCGAAUUACAAGGAGAACAAGAGGAAGAGGAAUUCAAUCGCCUUUUACUUCAGGCAGCCCAGAAUAUCCAGGGCUCCGUUCCUUCUCCAGCAGAAUCCAAGCCUAUCCGCCCCCUUCCAGGAUUCUGCCUUAAAACCCACACAAGUUCUGGUGAGAAGAUUUUUGUCAAUGUCUGCAAAUCCCCGCACAUCCCUUCGCCGCCCGACCUAACCAAUGAAGAGCUGGCUUGCCUCAUUGAAUCAGAGAAUGCCUCUACCUUCCGGAUCCCCAUGAGUCUGGGGGAGCCCCAUGCAGAAGUAGACAAGAGUGGUAAUGGUUGCACGGCCUAUGAUGUCACCAUAAACACCAACUUUUUUAAUAAGAUGGAGAGCAACCAAUUUCUCAAAGAAUUCUUCCUUACCAUAGCCAUGGAAGGAUUGUCAGAGAAGUACAAGAUGGACAUCAGCAAUCAAGAUUGGCGGAUUCUGAAGAACAGGAAGUUUAUGGGCUCCAUAUCAGAACAGAAUAUCCGCACUAAAUCCAAGCCCAUCAUCCAGGAAAUACAGAGCAGCCCUGCUGUAACUCCUGAAUUCACCAUAGUCGCAGAGCCGUCAACCAGUCAUCCCAGUCAUCUAGUGUCAAAGAUCUCCCUCCCUAAAAUGAUCUCAGUGAGAAAUAUUGAGCUGGACCUUGGAGAAGACCGUAUUGUAUUACGGGGACAUCCUGAGCUCUAUCAUUUGGAUAUUUUCAUACCCUACAGCAUUGUCCCUGAGGAAAGCCGGGCUCAAUUCCACAAAGAAACAAAGAUCCUUACGAUCUUGAUGCCUGUCCAACGCCCAUUGCUGUUGCUGUGAGCUCUGAACAGACGGUCUAGAGGACUGAUCACAGUGUAGGCCGGGGAUGUACAUUACGGAGAUAUGUCCCAGCCAGACACCCCACAAUCAUUUCCAUCUGCUUCGUUUAUAUCUGGAUUCAGGGAAAAUAUUCUAACAAGCCAUCUGCACUGAUGUAUUCCAGUCCCUUAUCUCAAAUGAUACUCCACCACCAUAUUUGGAAGUCCACUCAGCAGUCUUACGCUCUUGUUUUACCAAACUCUGAGAUGGAACUACUGCUAAAAUUGUAGGCUUGCCUUCAUCAGUCUGAUAUUGUCUAGAUGUAUUAGCAUUAAAAUUUAUCAAUUUCCCCAAUUGGCUGAGAAUCCUGGUCCUCUUUCUUAUUCUAAACUGAAACUUUCUCCAUUUAAAGUAGUGUUUCUCAACUUUAGCAACUUGAAAAUGUGUCGACUUCAACUCCCAGAAUUCCCAACCAGCAUGAGUCAUGAAAUCAGAAAUCAGCAUGGUUGGCUAGGGAAUUUUGGGAGUUGAAGUCCACAUAUCUUAAAGUUGCUGAGGUUGGGAAAAACUGAUCUCAUUUAUAAUUGAGGAUUUAAUUGUGACAAAGAUACCAACUUCAUUCUCCUGUAACACUUCCUUCUUUAGCUGCCGCUGUCCCUUGUCCUUGCAAGAAUGAAGGUGUACGUUUUCUCCUCCACCCCCAUGUGAAUAUCUUCGCAGAUGUGAUAUUUUCAGAAUUGACUUUAUAUGUUGCUGCCAAAAUACUUUGCCACACCUCACAGGUGCAAUAAUUUCUGAACUAAUUGUGAAAUGUGCAUGAUUGAAGCCUUUUUACAAGGUAGCACUUUUCUGACACAUUGACCAAAAGAAGAAGAAAGAUUAUAGUCCUGGUUUUCAACAAAAUCUGAAAG